rnacentral:rRNA from 1 species
GACGAACGCUGGCGGCGUGCUUAACACAUGCAAGUCGAGCGGGGAACUUCGGUUCCCAGCGGCGGACGGGUGAGUAACACGUGGGUAACCUGCCUUACAGUGGGGAAUAGCCUUCCGAAAGGAAGAUUAAUACCGCAUAAUACUCAGAGAUCACAUGAUCCUUGAGCCAAAGGAAUUUAUUUCGCUGUAAGAUGGACCCGCGGCGCAUUAGCUUGUUGGUGAGGUAACGGCUCACCAAGGCUGCGAUGCGUAGCCGACCUGAGAGGGUGAUCGGCCACAUUGGAACUGAGACACGGUCCAGACUCCUACGGGAGGCAGCAGUGGGGAAUAUUGCACAAUGGAAGAAACUCUGAUGCAGCAACGCCGCGUGAGUGAUGAAGGUCUUCGGAUCGUAAAACCCUGUCUUAUGGGACGAUAAUGACGGUACCAUAGGAGGAAGCCACGGCUAACUACGUGCCAGCAGCCGCCGUAA